AACGAACGCUGGCGGCAGGCUUAACACAUGCAAGUCGAACGCAUCCUUCGGGGUGAGUGGCAGACGGGUGAGUAACGCGUGGGAACGUGCCCUUCAGUUCGGGAUAACCCAGGGAAACUUGGGCUAAUACCGGAUACGUGCGAGAGCAGAAAGAUUUAUCGCUGAAGGAUCGGCCCGCGUCUGAUUAGCUAGUUGGUGGGGUAAUGGCCCACCAAGGCGACGAUCAGUAGCUGGUCUGAGAGGAUGAUCAGCCACAUUGGGACUGAGACACGGCCAAACUCCCAACGGGGGCCGGCGGUGGGAAAUAUUGGAAAUGGGCGGAAACCCUGUCCAGGCCAUGCGGCGUGGGUGAUGAGGGCUUAGGGUUUGAAAACCUCUUUGGUCCGGAAGAUUAUGACGGUACCGGAAGAAGAAGCCCCGGCUAACUUCGUGCCAGCCGCCGCAGUAA
rnacentral:rRNA from 1 species